rnacentral:rRNA from 1 species
UACGAAGGGUGCAAACGUUGCUCGGAAUUAUUGGGCGUAAAGCGCACGUAGGCGGCUUUGCAAGUCGGAUGUGAAAUCCCCAGGCUCAACCUGGGAACUGCAUCCGAUACUGGAUGGCUUGAAUUCGGGAGAGGGAUGCAGAAUUCCAGGUGUAGCGGUGAAAUGCGUAGAUAUCUGGAGGAAUACCGGUGGCGAAGGCGGCAUCCUGGAC